rnacentral:tRNA from 1 species
GCCCCGGUCGUCUAGUGGUCCAGGAAGGCCUUAGCCCUGGAGUGGCGGCCUGUCGAGCCGCAGAACCCGGGUUCGAAUCCCGGCCGGGGCGCCA